rnacentral:lncRNA from 1 species
GAAGAUGGAUAGAAAGCCUUCAAAGGCAAGAAGAACAGGAUGGAUAGAGAGAGGGUGGAGAGAGAGAGAGGUUGGGGGGAUGAGAGAGAGAGAGAGGUGGGAAGUGUAUAAUAAUUAUUGAGAGAGAGAGAGAGGUGGGACGGGUAUAAUAAUUAUUGAGAGAGAGAGAGAGGUGGGAAGUGCAUAAUGAUUAUUUAGUAAGCCCCUUUCCCUUUGUUAUAGAGCCUAAAGAGAUUAAAAGCAGAGAGCCCCGAUAGAGUGACCAUGCUCA